rnacentral:rRNA from 1 species
GAUGAACGCUGGCGGCGUGCUUAACACAUGCAAGUCGAGCGAAAAGGCCCGGCUUUUGUGCGUUUCUCGAGUGGCGAACGGGUGAGUAACACGUGAGUAACCUGCCCUUGACUUUCGGAUAAAUUCUGGGGACUGCGGCUAUUACCGCAUAGGAUCUCCUGCUCCAUGUGGGUGGUUGGAAAGAUUCGGCGGUUGUGUCUCGCUUAGCUGCUUAUCGGCUUGUUGGGGGGGUAGUGGCUUACCAAGGCUUUGACGGGUAGCCGGCAUGGGAGGUUGACCGGCCACAAUGCGACUGAGAGACGGACCAGACGCCUACGGGAGGCAGUGGGGGGGAACAUGGCACAAUGGGCGCACGCCUGAUGCAGCAACGCUGCGAGCGUGAUGCCGGCCUUCUGGUGGAAAACAGCUGUCGACUGAGACGAAGCGUGAGUGACGGUAAUGGGUAAAGAAGCACCGGCUAACUACGUG